GCUCUUCUAGUAUAUCAAUUACAAUCGACUUCCAAUCCUUAAAGUCCGGUUUAAGUCCGGAGAAGAGUA
rnacentral:tRNA from 1 species